GGCUAUUGUUUACGUUGCAUCCGACAGAUACGGAAAUAUCAACUUUUGUUCGUUUAUUGUCACCAUCGCCGAUAGGUCUUCCCCUCAACCUCUUUCCUCAGGCUUCCCGAUGGAGGGGACGAUAACCAUUAUCGUUGUCAUCGGCAUCAUUAUCCUAGUCGCCAUGAUGAUCAUGUUUCUACUUAAAACCAGGAAAGAUCGAAGGAAGGAAUAUCAAAGCAAGGAAGAUCAAAGCAAGGAAGAUCAAAGCAAGGAAGAUCAGAACAAGGAAGAUCAAAUCGAGGAAUGAUCAAGAUAUCUCCACCCCGGUCUAUCACGCUUUCAAGCAAGCACUUACCGUGAUUGCCCUUCUUCGGCAGAUUUCUCAUUGAUGAAUAAUUCUUUUUAGUGUGUUAUUCGUUAAAUUUUGUUUUAAUUAUAAUUAUAUUGUGUACACGUUCAAAUGAUUUGAAAUGUU